rnacentral:rRNA from 1 species
AUUGAACGCUGGCGGCAGGCCUAACACAUGCAAGUCGAACGGCAGCACAGAAGAGCUUGCUCUUUGGGUGGCGAGUGGCGGACGGGUGAGUAAUGUCUGGGAAACUGCCCGAUGGAGAGGGAUAACUACUGGAAACGGUAGCUAAUACCGCAUAACGUCGCAAGACCAAAGUGGGGGACCUUCGGGCCUCACACCAUCGGAUGUGCCCAGAUGGGAUUAGCUAGUAGGUGGGGUAAUGGCUCACCUAGGCGACGAUCCCUAGCUGGUCUGAGAGGAUGACCAGCCACACUGGAACUGAGACACGGUCCAGACUCCUACGGGAGGCAGCAGUGGGGAAUAUUGCACAAUGGGCGCAAGCCUGAUGCAGCCAUGCCGCGUAUAUGAAGAAGGCCUUCGGGUUGUAAAGUACUUUCAGCGGGGAGGAAGGCGGUGAGGUUAAUAACCUUGCCGAUUGACGUUACCCGCAGAAGAAGCACCGGCUAACUCCGUGCCAGCCGCCGCGGUAA